rnacentral:rRNA from 1 species
AGGAAAUAGAUACCCGGGUAGUCCACGCCGUAAAACGAUGGGCACUAGGUGCUGGGGGGAGGCGACCCCUUCCAGUGCCGCCAGCUAAACGACGAUAAGUAGCCCCGCCCUGGGGAGGUACGGCCGGCAAGGCGUGAAACUACAAAGGAAAUUGACGGGGGGCCCGGGCACAAGCGGUGGAGCAUGUGGUUUAAACUUACGAAGCAACGCGAAGAACCUUACCUAGGUUUGUACAUGUAGCUGAAAGCCUCUGGAAACAGGGGCCCGUUCUUCGGAACAGCUACACAGGUGCUGCAUGGCUGUCGUCAGCUCGUGUCGUGAGAUGUUGGGUUAAGUCCCGCAACGAGCGCAACCCUUGCCCCGUGUUACUAACAGGUAAAGCUGAGGACUCUCGGGGGGUACUGCCGGCGUCAAGCCGGA